GCCUGUAUGGCUAAGUGGCAAGGCGUCUGUCUUGUAAACAGAAGAUCCCAGGUUCAAUCCCUGGUGCAGGCA